UACGUAGGCAGCAAGCGUUGUUCGGAGUUACUGGGCGUAAAGGGUGCGUAGGCGGCUUUUUAAGUUUGGUGUGAAAUCUCCCGGCUCAACUGGGAGGGUGCGCCGAAUACUGAGAGGCUAGAGUGUGGGAGAGGAAAGUGGAAUUCCUGGUGUAGCGGUGAAAUGCGUAGAUAUCAGGAGGAACACCGGUGGUGUAGACGGCUUACUGGACCAUAACUGACGCUGAGACACGAAAGCGUGGGUAGCAAACAGG
rnacentral:rRNA from 1 species